rnacentral:rRNA from 1 species
GACGAACGCUGGCGGCGUGCUUAACACAUGCAAGUCGAACGGAAAGGCCCUGCUUUUGUGGGGUGCUCGAGUGGCGAACGGGUGAGUAACACGUGAGUAACCUGCCCUUGACUUUGGGAUAACUUCAGGAAACUGGGGCUAAUACCGGAUAGGAGCUCCUGCUGCAUGGUGGGGGUUGGAAAGUUUCGGCGGUUGGGGAUGGACUCGCGGCUUAUCAGCUUGUUGGGGGGGUAGUGGCUUACCAAGGCUUUGACGGGUAGCCGGCCUGAGAGGGUGACCGGCCACAUUGGGACUGAGAUACGGCCCAGACUCCUACGGUGGGCAGCAGUGGGGAAUAUUGCACAAUGGGCGGAAGCCUGAUGCAGCAACGCCGCGUGCGGGAUGACGGCCUUCGGGUUGUAAACCGCUUUCGCCUGUGACGAAGCGUGAGUGACGGUAAUGGGUAAAGAAGCACCGGCUAACUACGUG